rnacentral:tRNA from 1 species
GGAGUUGUGGCUCAGAGGUAGAGCGCUUGCCUAGCACGCAUGAGGCAGUGAAUUCGAUCCUCAGCACCA